GGUGUGGAGGAGGAAAGGCUGCUGGCUCUGAGCGCUAGGCAAGGGACAUGGUUGCCCUGGGCAGGAAGAAAGGAGGAAUGGAGCUCAAGGAGUCUUGGUUGUUGUUUUUUAAAUGCUUUGUGUGACUGCAUCUAAUCUUUCCCCUUUCUAAAAUUUAUUUGUUGGUGUGUGUUUUUCAUUUUGUGAAUCUACUAAAGAAUCAAAUCAAAUAGGGUUUUCUCAGGAUGGUGGCAGGUGUGUGUCCCAUUGGUGAAGUGUUAGUGGCACUCACUCUUCUUCUAAUAGGAAGUGCUCUGUGGGGGGCACAAAAAUGGGGGGGGGUCAAUUGCAGGGGAGUGAUAAAUGUCCCUAUUUUCAUCUGAGGAAUGUUGCAGGGUAUGGCUUUCUCUUACUGCCAAAGGAGAGCAUAGCUACCAUGGCUAGUAGCCUUAUCAUUUUCUCUGCCACACGGCUUAAUUCAAAUUGUCUCUUUUGCAUUCAGUCUGUGUUAGGGCAGCAGCCCUUUUGCAAGCACUAAGCAAUGUCUGACUUGGAAGAUGGAUUAAGGUUUACCCUGCUUGACACACAAAUCAAGUUGCUUUUGUAUUGCUAUAAGUGGUGCUGUGGAAAGGGAGGCUGUGAACUGUGACUCUGUCUUGUUUCGGCUUUGGGACAGGGUGAGAAGAGACUGGCUUUGUGCCCAAAGAAAGCCAAUUUGGGGGUGUAGGAUCCUUUCCUUUUGAAGUUUCCUCCCAACAAUGAUUAAAAAGUCUCCCUCCUGGCUUUCUAAUCCAAGCACACCAUGCAUCUAAAUAUAUUUGUCACAGUGAAAGGAGAUCCAUGGCUCCACAGAUGCUGUUUCUGAUUUAUCUCAGGCAUGCUUAACGAGAAACGCUCCUUUACUCUCUCUCCCAGUUUGAAUUACUGUGAAAUGACAUGUAUAUUUAUAUAUACAUAGAGAGAGAGAGAGACGUGUGACUGUGUGUGUACACAAAAGCCCCAGCACUCUACCCAUACAUUGAUUUAAAUGUUUUGCGCUACAUACUUUGAAGUGACAAUAUUUCAUGUGGGCGACGGAUGAUGGAAGGAAUAUGUUCGGAGAGAAAAAAAUAAGCAACAUUAAUUUCACAUUUAAUGCACUUAAUGUUUGUUUUAUGUUAAGAAACUGGAGGACAAGAAUGGCAUAUUGGCCCUUGGACCUGAUUAGUUCUAAAUGGAGGUUGCAUUUCACUUCUGUGCAUAAUGUUGGGUUUCUCCCAGCACGUGUCAGCACCUUGUUUCUGUGUUACAGUGUGGUGGAGUCGUUACAGUGUGGGAAUUAGGACCUCGAGAACCAGGGUUCAAAUCUUCACUUGGCUAUGAAGCUCACUGGGUUACAUUGGGCCAGCCACUGCCUCUCAGCCUAAUCUGCCUCACAGGGUUUAUUGUGGGGAUUAGAGGGGGGGAGAGAACCGUGCACACCAUCUUGAGCUCCUUUGAGAACGCCUGUCCCACCCAGAGAAUUUGCCACACCCCAGCUUCCCUUUCCAAGAAGGCUCAGUUGGUUUUGCCCAGGGGAGGAGCUGGUGUGGCCACUAGUCGGGAGAGGAGACAACCUGGUUUUAUAAGCUUGCAUCUCCUCCAAAUGGUGCGGUCCUUUCUUUGUAGUGUCUCCCAUCUCAAGGCAAUAUGGGCUUUGUUAGUCACCUCUUUAGAGAAUGAGUAGGAAUUUUGAGGGGAGCCCCUAAAUGUUCUCAGGGAAGCACAACUAGUUUGGUCACACUGGGCACAGAGCCUCCAGGGCACUGCAACUAUGGUGUAGAAUGGAAGGUGGGGGUGCCAAAUUUGGUGUUUCACAGGGCGCUACUGAAAUUUGAGACCUCAGGGUCCGCCACUGUCUGGACUCUCCUUUUUUGCCUACUUCAUACUGCUGGGAGUCUUGUUUCAGGAGUAUCGUAGUUUGUUUUGGUUUAAUUGCCUGUUAGUCUGGUUGGGAAAGACAGAUUAAGAGGGGUGAGAUAGCCAAAUGAGGUGUAAUUGGGUUAAUGACACGCUUGGUCACUCUACGCUUUGCAGGAAUCAUGGAGGGUGCUUUUUGGCAUGCAUGCUUGUGGUGGGAUGCUGAGGCGGCAGGGCCGUGGUGUACUUGUCGAGCUCUUAUACGCAAGGUGUUCAGAGCAAGGAGGAAGGAUCCCUUCCAGUCCCUUUCUCUGAAGCCAUGCCUGCAAAUGUGCUCAGGUGUAGGGAGGAACUUGAUCCCUCAUAACAUAGGGAACUUCCCUACUCCAGCAGCAAUACAACUGCACCUUAUGUGGGGGGUCGGUUCCAAGGGUUCCACAUAUUUGCAAAAACAUGUAUACUCAAACUGCCCCCGUGCAAGUAUGGCUAGCCUUCUGGAGCUUGUGUGCUGACCAGGCCUUGCCCACCAAGCAAGACUGAGUGCUUAAAAGCUCUUUUUGUGUCUGGAAAACCCAGCAGGAAAAAAGCUUUGAAGCUCUCCUGCCUUGCUUGCUGAAUCUCAACCAGCCGACCUUCAAUCAGGUAUGAUCAAAAUCACACAAGUUGAAUGUGUGUAAGAUGUGAUCAUAUUGCAUAUUCCUAUUUAAUUAACCUGGCUGUUGUUGUUGCUGCUGCUGCUGUUGUUGUUUUGCAUAUACUCAGAGUUGUGUUUUACAUUAAUAUAAUCUUUGUCCAAAGUUUGUGUCCUAUAUCUGCUUUGGAGGUGCGGUGGUCAAAAGGUGGGGUAUAAAUGCAAUUGAUCCAUAAGCCAGGAAGUGAACUUAUUUGUAAGGCUAUAUGUUAACACUUUGCUUGGAACAAGCUAGAAAUUAAAUUAAAAUAAAUCCAUUUAAGAAAAUGGUGCACUGCACCACCAACCUCACUGGCCUCCCCAGCUCUCACCUGCUUGCCUUCCCACUUACAAUAAGUCCAGAGGGUGGCGCUGUCUGUUAGCUUCCUCCUCCCCCUUCUUCUUUGUAUUGCCCUUGUGGAACUCAGCAGGGAGGAGGAUGGGGGCUAAUCCAGAAUCAGUUGGCUCUGCCUGUCAUUGGCUCUGGUGCCAUCUGCUGUUGGUCUCCCUGCCUCCCCCCCUACCAGUUUCAAUGGACACCAUCUGCACCUGGUACAUAUCAAUACAGAUCCAGAGGUUUUCUUUUCCCCAGCCGUAGCAAUCAGUGUCUGAAACUGAUGAAGACAUUCCUUUUUAGCCUCAUACAUUCAUGAGAAGAGAACAAGCGGAAAGCAGUGAUUUAGCCUCACCUACAGUAAUUCUCCUUCACCUUUAUUUUCCAUCUGUGGCAAGUAAAAUUAGGUCUGCUGAGUGACCACAAAUUUACUAUCUUGCAUGGGCAGAUCCAUUCACCCCCGGUGGCAAGCAUUCAGUCAGUCCUGAUAGAUGGCCAAUUUUGUGGUAGCAAGAUCAAAAAGCCAAAUGUGCAAGGGCAUUGCUUGUUUUGGCACCUUAACAAGUACUUAACAAAUGGAUGCCAGGAGGCGACUGAGAUUAAAUUGUAAAAUCAGCAGUUAGUCAAAAGGUAGAAGGAAGCACAUUUUCUCUCUCGAAAGGUAAGUGAGGAAAGUCAGCAUAUGGAUUUUUUUUAGAGGGUAGGAAAAAUGUUUUAAGUUCAGGAGAUGAAGGACUGGUGUACAGGUACACGAAAUGGUGUGAAUUGCAGAGGGGGAGAGCACAGUUGCACUAAGUCUCUAUUCUGGUGGAAUAGAUCAGUGGCUACUGGACAUUAUGGCUGUGCUCUGCCUCAUUGGUGGAGGCAGAAAGCCUCUGAAUACCAGUUGCUGAUAAAUUACAAAUGGGGGAAAUGCUUUUGCACUCAGGUUCUGCAUUGCAUUUGCAUUCGCCAUCACCUGUUUGUUUUAUCAUCACAAAGGGUCAAUGCAAAAACUAUUGGGAGCUCUGAAUGUGCACAGCUUUCAAAGAUGCUGUGCUUAUUAAAUCAUUUUUUGGAGGCAGGCAUGCCUUGUUAAAAAAAAAAAAGGUGUAUGUAUUUAUUCAUGAGACGGUUGUUCCAUCCCAGUCCGUGCUAGACGACACCUUUUAAAUGUUUUAUUAGUGGCAGAUUAAUUUUCAACACAGAGCACUGAGAGGAACCAGUCAGGAUGUGUUUCAAGCGAGCCGAACAAGUGUAUGAAAAUGCGUGAAACUUGCUAAAGGAUUAUGCAAUGAAUAAUUUAAAGGCUAAAUAUGAGACAAGUAAAGGAAAAAGCUCAACAAAGAGAAUCCCUCACCAAAUAAGCCACUGGAGAUGUACAGAAAUGCAAAAAGGAAAAGGGG